rnacentral:rRNA from 1 species
GAUUGAACGCUGGCGGUAUGCUUAACACAUGCAAGUCGAACGGAAACGAUACUAGCUUGCUAGUAGGCGUCGAGUGGCGGACGGGUGAGUAACGCGUAGGAAUCUGCCUGAUAGUGGGGGAUAGCCCGAAGAAAUUCGGAUUAAUACCGCAUAAUCUAUUCGUAGUAAAGUGGGGGACUUUCGAGCCUCACGCUAUCAGAUGAGCCUGCGUAAGAUUAGCUUGUUGGUAGGGUAAAAGCCUACCAAGGCGACGAUCUUUAGCUGGUCUGAGAGGAUGAUCAGCCACAUCGGGACUGAGACACGGCCCGAACUCCUACGGGAGGCAGCAGUGGGGAAUAUUGGACAAUGGGGGCAACCCUGAUCCAGCAAUACCGCGUGUGUGAAGAAGGCCUGAGGGUUGUAAAGCACUUUCAAUUGUGAAGAAAAGUUAGCGGUUAAUAACCGUUAGCCUUGACGUUAACUUUAGAAGAAGCACCGGCUAACUCCGUGCCAGCAGCCGCGGUAAUACGGAGGGUGCAAGCGUUAAUCGGAAUUACUGGGCGUAAAGCGUGCGUAGGCGGUUUAUUAAGUCAGAUGUGAAAGCCCCGGGCUUAACCUGGGAACUGCAUUUGAAACUGGUCAACUAGAGUAUGGUAGAGGAAAGUGGAAUUUCUGGUGUAGCGGUGAAAUGCGUAGAUAUCAGAAGGAACAUCAAUGGCGAAGGCAGCUUUCUGGACCAAUACUGACGCUGAGGUACGAAAGCGUGGGUAGCAAACAGGAUUAGAUACCCUGGUAGUCCACGCCGUAAACGAUGAUAACUAGCCGUUGGGGGGAUUUACCCUUUAGUGGCGAAGCUAACGCGUUAAGUUAUCCGCCUGGGGAGUACGGCCGCAAGGUUAAAACUCAAAGGAAUUGACGGGGACCCGCACAAGCGGUGGAGCAUGUGGUUUAAUUCGAUGCAACGCGAAGAACCUUACCUGGUCUUGACAUCCUGCGAACUUUCUAGAAAUAGAUUGGUGCCUUCGGGAACGCAGUGACAGGUGCUGCAUGGCUGUCGUCAGCUCGUGUCGUGAGAUGUUGGGUUAAGUCCCGUAACGAGCGCAACCCCUAUCCUUAUUUGCCAGCACAUCAUGGUGGGAACUAUAAGGAGACUGCCGGUGAUAAACCGGAGGAAGGCGGGGACGACGUCAAGUCAUCAUGGCCCUUACGACCAGGGCUACACACGUGCUACAAUGGGAAGGACAAAGAGCCGCGAAGCCGCGAGGUGUAGCUAAUCUCAUAAACCUUUUCGUAGUCCGGAUUGGAGUCUGCAACUCGACUCCAUGAAGUCGGAAUCGCUAGUAAUCGUAGAUCAGAAUGCUACGGUGAAUACGUUCCCGGGUCUUGUACACACCGCCCGUCA